UCUAUCCUUCUCUCCUUAGUAGUGAAUUCAUUCCAAUAUAAAUGAAGGUGAAUUAAUGCUGAAGGGGUCUUGGUUCCCGCCUGGUAGGGAAUUCAUUCCAAUAUAAAUGAAAGGUGAAUUAAUGCUGAAGGGGUCUUGGUUCCCGCCUGGUAGGGAAUUCAUUCCAAUAUAAAUGAAGGUGAAUUAAUGCUGAAGGGGUCUUGGUUCCCGCCUGGUAGGGAAUUCAUUCCAAUAUAAAUGAAAGGUGAAUUAAUGCUGAAGGGGUCUUGGUUCCCGCCUGGUAGGGAAUUCAUUCCAAUAUAAAUGAAGGUGAAUUAAUGCUGAAGGGGUCUUGGUUCCCGCCUGGUAGGGAAUUCAUUCCAAUAUAAAUGAAAGGUGAAUUAAUGCUGAAGGGGUCUUGGUUCCCGCCUGGUAGGGAAUUCAUUCCAAUAUAAAUGAAGGUGAAUUAAUGCUGAAGGGGUCUUGGUUCCCGCCUGGUAGGGAAUUCAUUCCAAUAUAAAUGAAAGGUGAAUUAAUGCUGAAGGGGUCUUGGUUCCCGCCUGGUAGGGAAUUCAUUCCAAUAUAAAUGAAAGGUGAAUUAAUGCUGAAGGGGUCUUGGUUCCCGCCUGGUAGGGAAUUCAUUCCAAUAUAAAUGAAGGUGAAUUAAUGCUGAAGGGGUCUUGGUUCCCGCCUGGUAGGGAAUUCAUUCCAAUAUAAAUGAAAGGUGAAUUAAUGCUGAAGGGGUCUUGGUUCCCGCCUGGUAGGGAAUUCAUUCCAAUAUAAAUGAA